rnacentral:rRNA from 1 species
GACGAACGCUGGCGGCGUGCUUAACACAUGCAAGUCGAACGAAGAGCGAUGGAAGCUUGCUUCUAUCAAUCUUAGUGGCGAACGGGUGAGUAACGCGUAAUCAACCUGCCCUUCAGAGGGGGACAACAGUUGGAAACGACUGCUAAUACCGCAUACGAUCUAAUCUCGGCAUCGAGGACAGAUGAAAGGUGGCCUCUAUUUAUAAGCUAUCACUGAAGGAGGGGAUUGCGUCUGAUUAGCUAGUUGGAGGGGUAACGGCCCACCAAGGCGAUGAUCAGUAGCCGGUCUGAGAGGAUGAACGGCCACAUUGGGACUGAGACACGGCCCAGACUCCUACGGGAGGCAGCAGUGGGGAAUCUUCCGCAAUGGACGAAAGUCUGACGGAGCAACGCCGCGUGAGUGAUGACGGCCUUCGGGUUGUAAAGCUCUGUUAAUCGGGACGAAAGGCCUUCUUGCGAACAGUUAGAAGGAUUGACGGUACCGGAAUAGAAAGCCACGGCUAACUACGUG